UGGGGAAUAUUGGACAAUGGGCGCAAGCCUGAUCCAGCCAUGCCGCGUGAGUGAAGAAGGCCUUCGGGUUGUAAAGCUCUUUUGUCCGGGAAGAAAAGGACUGUGCUAAUACCCUGGUGUCCUGACGGUUCCGGCCGAAUAAGCCCCGCUUACUUU
rnacentral:rRNA from 1 species